AUUCAUCUGACGAGUCCUAAAUAAAACGAAACGGGCGUCCUGGAU
rfam:Schistosoma rodhaini strain Burundi genome assembly, scaffold: SROB_scaffold0000396